rnacentral:rRNA from 1 species
GACGAACGCUGGCGGCGUGCUUAAUACAUGCAAGUCGAGCGGACAGACCAUGCUCUUGUGGGGUGGUUGUUUGGCGCACGGGUGAGUAACACGCGUGUAACCUGCCCUUGACAUUGUGGUAACUUCAGGGAAAUGCGGCUAAUAUAGCAUAGGAGCUCCUGCUGCAUGGUGGGGGUUGGUGAGUUUCGGCGGUUGGGGCUGGACUAGCGGCUUAUCAGCUUGUUGAUGGGGUAGUGGCUUACCAAGCCUAUGACGGGUAGCCGGCCUGAGAGGUUGACCGGCCACAGUGCGACUGAGGUACGGAGCAGACGCCUACGGGACGCAGCAGUGGGGAAUAUUGCACAGUGGGCGGAAGCGUGAUGCAGCAAUGCUGCGUGCGGGAUGACGGCCUACGAGUGGUGAACCGCUUUCUCAGGUGACGAAGCGAGAGUGACGGUAAUUGGUAAAGAAGCACCGGCUAACUACGUG